AAUGUACACAGUGAUGUAGACAGUGAUGUAGACAGUGAUGUAGACAGUGAUGUGUUUUGUUCUUAGCAAUCAAAAAUUGCUUUUUUUUUUCUUUUACAUCUUAAAAAUCAAGUAACAAAAAUUUUUUUUGUAUCAGGAAUGUAGGAAGUUUGCACGGCAAAUGUUAAUCUUUAUAAAUUAAUAUAAAGAGAUAAUUCAGUAUAAGAAGAUAUUUUAGUAUAAGUAGAUAAAUUCAUAUAAGUAGACAAUUUAAUAUGAAGAGAAUUUAGGUAAAGAGAUAAUUAAGUGUAAAUUGAUAAUUUCGUAUAAACAAGAAACUGGAAGCAGAGAGACAACAAAGACUAGCUGAAAAUUUUUGAUGGAAUAUCCUAGACAGACUAUAAGAUUAGUCAAUGGUGAAGUGUUAGACUUCAGUCCAUCAGUAGGGUAUAGACAAACUCUUGGCAAAAUUGUAAAGGUAGAUAUACAUAGCAGUUCAAAAGCAGAACGUCUACUUUAUCAGAUUGUUUGUAACUCAUCAAUGACAUGCUCUUAAUUAAUAGAACGUUACCCCCCCCCCCCCCC